GUCCACCCAUGAGGACUCAGACCUCACUUAUCCUUCUCCUUCUCUUUGUUAUGGCCUACCACCAAACAACCAAACACAGUUUGCUUCGCCAGAUAAUGAAUCCACGCAGCGUUUCCCAUAGUGGACUUGAUGAACAUCGAUGAAUAAUCAUCGUGUUCUUCAAGUCCAAACCUAGAAACCUCCAGAGAUUUCUCAAACACCAAAACUUUUCAAUCAGAUCCUAUAUGAAAUACUAUCGCAAACAUGAAUCUAAUUUUAAUUCAACCAAAAACAACACAGAUUCUCAUAUCAAACCCGCCCUAAACAAAACCCUAAAUGAUAAAUCAUUCCCCAAAUUUCACAAUCCAAGCUAAUAGACAAUGAUUCAAGUUAUGGAGUUAACAACAUAACAAAAUAUCAAGCGUGAAAAUGGCGUAAAAUAAUACAGAAGGCCUCGUCGAAGCUUUGAAACUCCGGCGAGGUUUCAGCGACGGCGAAGGUACCUCAAGUAAGUAGUCAAAUUCCUUGCUCUCUACUUGUAUUGCUUCUGUUUUGUUUACUUUCCUUCUCCUACUCAUGUAUUCACUUUCUCUGUUGAGUGGGUGUUAGGCUAGCUGAGAGUGAGUAUGAGCUAAACCUUUUUUAGGAUUCAAUAUGAAGCUUAAGAAGAUUAGGAUAGUGAGAUAUUUAGUAAUGGGUUAGGAUUUUUUUAGCAGAGUUUCAUUGUGAGAUUUUGCGUGUUUUGAGUGAAAUGAGGGGAUGGAUUAUAUAGGGUGAGCGAUGAUCAAAGAGAGGGAAAAGAGUGAGUUGUUAGAGGAAUUUGGAGGGAAAAUGGUGAUCCUCAUGCUAAUCUGAGAUGAAAGGUUGAGAUGAUUUGGAUUGGAAUUUGGUUGAGCUUUGUGUUAGUUUGAGGAAUUGUGUUAGUCAUGUGUGUGCAGGAUGAAUGAUGAUGUAUGGAUCAUGGUGAAUUUUGAGUGGUUCACGCGUUUGCUCUUUGAUUCUAAGUUUUGUUUGCUUUUUUUCUCUUGUUUGAAUUUUAAUUCAAAUUCAAAUGGAUAUAUGUGUUGGUGAUGGUAUGGUAUUUUUGUUGAGUGGUGAUGGAUUGUGUAAUGGUGGAAAAUCAUGUGUUUCUCACUACUUUAUUUUAUUAAGUCAAUUUAAAUCUACUUAGUUUGGAUGGUGAAGUAAGUUAUGUCUGUAUAUUGAUACAUAUGGAUGAUGAUACUAUGUAAAACUAUGAAUUGAUAUCAUGUGUUUUGCCUUUAAUUUGUUUUGAGUGUUGCUCAUGAUACUGAUAAUGCAUUAUAUAGAAAACUCACAUGAAUUUUGUUGUUUGAAAGAUGCAGGGUAAUGGUAAGAUGAUGCUUUGGGAUGAUGUUAUAGUCAUGGUGAAAUGGUGCAAAGGUAAAGGGAAUAAGAUGGAAGCAAAUUAAAGAUGGUGAUGAGAUCGGGAUGAUGGUGAUAAAGAGGAGGUCAUGAGGGCCACCAACAUUUUGGAAAUUCAUUCUUUUUGUUUUAUUUUUUGUCUUAUUAUUUUAAAAAUGUGACGUGUGCAUAAUGUUAACAAAAUACUCUUUUAAAUAUUUUUGUAUUAAUAUUUGACAAUGUAAAGUAAAAAAUACUCAUUCAUUUUAUGGAAUACACAUCCUCUUCAUCAUAUUUCAAACACCAAUCACUUGAUACAAAUGACAUGAUAAAAUAAUGUAACUUGCAAAUUUUUACUUUCAAAUGCUUUUAUAAAACUUAA
rnacentral:lncRNA from 1 species